rnacentral:lncRNA from 1 species
GAGAAAAUAAAAAUGUUCUAGAAUUCCCAUUUUGUCGCAACUUUGCAGAUGAAGAAGGAGGAAGAGUGGCUGAGCUUCCAGUUCUCACAGCUGGCUCUCCUUUUCCAGCAGUCAAAAGUUAUGUUCUCUGUAUCACUACGGGAGCAUCACCUGGGUCAGGAACAGACGCAGAUGUGUAUGUCAUGCUCCAAGGCCUUUUGGGAGAUACUGGCAGAAGAAAGUUAAUCAGAAAAAGACAUGAUAAUUUCACUAAAGGAAAGGUGGAUGUUUUUCAAGUGGAAGCAGUAGAUGUUGGGACUCUGCAAGGGAUGGUGGUUGAAAAAGGGAAAGGCUCUGACUGGCUUCUGGAGAAGAUUAUUGUGAAAGAGUCAGCAGCUUCAGGAACAGAAACAUUGUUUAUGGCUCAAACAUGGCUAAAAGACAGACAUGAUGGAAAAAGGUUUGCCUCAGUAACGCUGAAUGCCACAGUGGUUACAUAUCAUCUAACAGUAUUUUCUAGAAAUAUUUUGAGUGAGAGAAAUUUAGUACAAAUGACUGCAUGUAUAUAUGGUACCCACGGUGACACAGGGGACAGAUCCCUUCUCUGGUCAUUGCAGAAUGUCCAGCAGGAAGAGGACAAUGAGGUACUCUGUCUUAAAGUACUUUAAAAUGUAUCCUUUAAUCCAUUCUUGUACUUCCUAUAUUUUCUUCCAAAUCUUCCUAUACACUCAAGUGAUAUAGUUUAAGACUGUAAUACUGAAUAAUUUUAUUAUAGUCAUUUCUAGUUAUCG